rnacentral:rRNA from 1 species
AGCAGCCGCGGUAAUUCCAGCUCCAAUAGCGUAUAUUAAAGUUGUUGCAGUUAAAAAGCUCGUAGUUGAAUUUCGGGAUCAAUAUGUCGGUCGUGCCUCCGGUACGUACUGGCAUCAUUGAUUUCUCCCUUCUGACGAACCAUGAUGUCAUUAAUUUGGUGUCAUGGGGAGUCAGGACUGUUACUUUGAAAAAUUAGAGUGUUUAAAGCAGGCUCACGCUUGAAUACAUUAGCAUGGAAUAAUGAAAUAGGACGUUUGAUCCUAUUUUGUUGGUUUCUAGGAUCGACGUAAUGAUUAAUAGGGAUAGUUGGGGCAUUAGUAUUCAAUUGUCAGAGGUGAAAUUCUUGGAUUUAUUGAAGACUAACUACUGCGAAAGCAUUUGCCAAGGAUGUUUUCAUUAAUCAAGAACGAAAGUUAGGGGAUCGAAGACGAUCAGAUACCGUCGUAGUA